AAUUAUACAAUUCUUUAAAAACAAUUAAAGCAAUUCCAAAGCUUGUUGCUGUAGAAAAAAAAAGCCAGGUU